AAGGGUGCGCAGGUGGGAAAAUAAGUCAGUGGUGAAAUACUGCCGCUUAACGGUAGAAUUGCCAUUGAUACUGUUUUUCUUGAGUAUGGUUGAGGUAGGUGGAAUGUGUUGUGUAGCGGUGAAAUGCAUAGAUAUGACACAGAACGCCGAUUGCGAAGGCAGCUUACUAAGCCAUUACUGACGCUGAAGCACGAAAGCGUGGGGAUCGAACAGGAUUAGAUACCCUGGUAGUCCACGCCGUAAACGAUGAUCACUCGCUGUUUGCGAUAUACAGCAAGCGGCUGAGCGAAAGCAUUAAGUGAUCCACCUGGGGAGUACGAUCGCAAGGUUGAAACUCAAAGGAAUUGACGGGGGCCCGCACAAGCGGAGGAACAUGUGGUUUAAUUCGAUGAUACGCGAGGAACCUUACCUGGGCUUAAAUGUAGGCUGCAUUCGGCUGAAAGGCUGAUUCCCUUCGGGGCUGCUUACAAGGUGCUGCAUGGUUGUCGUCAGCUCGUGCCGUGAGGUGUCGGGUUAAGUCCCAUAACGAGCGCAACCCUUAUCGUUAGUUGCCAGCGGGUUAAGCCGGGGACUCUAGCGAGACUGCCACCGUAAGGUGAGAGGAAGGUGGGGAUGACGUCAAAUCAGCACGGCCCUUAUGUCCAGGGCUACACACGUGUUACAAUGGCCGAUACAAAGGGCAGCUACUCCGCGAGGAGAUGCUAAUCUCUAAAGUCGGUCCCAGUUCGGAUUGGAGUCUGCAACCCGACUCCAUGAAGUUGGAUUCGCUAGUAAUCGCGCAUCAGCCAUGGCGCGGUGAAUACGUUCCCGGGCCUUGUACACACCGCCCGUCAAACCAUGGGAGCUGGGGGUGCCUGAAGUCUGCCACCGAGAGGAGCGGCC
rnacentral:rRNA from 1 species